UGGGUAACCUACCCUAGAGUGGGGAAUAACUAGCCGAAAGGUUAGCUAAUACCGCGUACGCUCCUUGGACUUCGGUUCAGGGAGGAAAGCGAUACCGUGGGUAUCGCGCUCUUGGAUGGGCUCAUGUCCUAUCAGCUUGUUGGUGAGGUAACGGCUCACCAAGGCUUCGACGGGUAGCUGGUCUGAGAGGACGAUCAGCCACACUGGCACUGCGACACGGGCCAG
rnacentral:rRNA from 1 species